rnacentral:rRNA from 1 species
GAUGAACGCUGGCGGUAUGCUUAACACAUGCAAGUCGAACGGUCUUUUAGGAGAUAGUGGCGGACGGGUGAGUAACACGUGAGAACCUACCUUCAGAACGGGGAUAACAGUUGGAAACGACUGCUAAUACCCGAUGUGCCGAAAGGUGAAAGAUUUAUCGUCUGAAGAAGGGCUCGCGGCUGAUUAGCUAGUUGGAAGUGUAAUGGACUCCCAAGGCAACGAUCAGUAACUGGUCUGAGAGGAUGAGCAGUCACACUGGAACUGAGAAACGGUCCAGACUCCUACGGGAGGCAGCAGUGGGGAAUUUUCCGCAAUGGGCGAAAGCCUGACGGAGCAAUACCGCGUGAGGGAGGAAGGUUCUUGGAUUGUAAACCUCUUUUCUAGGGGAAUAAAAAAAUGAAGGUACCCUAGGAAUAAGCAUCGGCUAACUCCGUGCCAGCAGCCGCGGUAAUACGGAGGAUGCAAGCGUUAUCCGGAAUUAUUGGGCGUAAAGAGUCCGUAGGUGGAAGUUCAAGUCUGUCGUUAAAGAAUGGAGCUUAACUCCAUAAAGGCGGUGGAAACUGAGCAACUAGAGUGCGGUAGGGGUAACGGGAAUUCCCAGUGUAGCGGUGAAAUGCGUAGAUAUUGGGAAGAACAUCGGUGGCGAAAGCGCGUUACUGGGCCGAAACUGACACUGAGGGACGAAAGCUAGGGUAGCGAAAGGGAUUAGAUACCCCUGUAGUCCUAGCCGUAAACGAUGGAUACUAGCGUAGCA